rnacentral:rRNA from 1 species
AGUGAACGCUGGCGGUAGGCCUAACACAUGCAAGUCGAACGGCAGCACAGUAAGAGCUUGCUCUUACGGGUGGCGAGUGGCGGACGGGUGAGGAAUACAUCGGAAUCUACUUUUUCGUGGGGGAUAACGUAGGGAAACUUACGCUAAUACCGCAUACGACCUACGGGUGAAAGCAGGGGAUCUUCGGACCUUGCGCGAUUGAAUGAGCCGAUGUCGGAUUAGCUAGUUGGCGGGGUAAAGGCCCACCAAGGCGACGAUCCGUAGCUGGUCUGAGGGGAUGAUCGGCCACACUGGAACUGGGACACGGCCCAGACUCCUACGGGAGGCAGCAGUGGGGAAUAUUGGACAAGGGGCGCAAGCCUGAUCCAGCCAUACCGCGUGGGUGAAGAAGGCCUUCGGGUUGUAAAGCCCUUUUGUUGGGAAAGAAAAGCAGCAGGUUAAGACCCCGCUGUUCUGACGGUACCCAAAGAAUAAGCACCGGCUAACUUCGU